rnacentral:misc_RNA from 1 species
AACGCACAUUGCACCCUCUGGUAUUCCGGGGGGUAUGCCUGUUCGAGCGUCAUUGCAACCCUCAAGCAUUGCUUGGUAUUGGAUGCCACCACUGUGGUGCAUCUCAAAAGUAUUGGCGGUGGCAUUCAGCUUCUAGCGUAGUAAAUCUUCUCGCCUUGGAGUUUGAGUGUCUGACUGCCAGAACCCCUAAAUUUAUCAAAGGUUGACCUCGGAUCAGGUAGGGAUACCCGCUGAACUUAA